UGCCAUUGGCGUUUUGGGGUAUUGGCCUUGGGUGAUUACUACAAUUGGUGCCGGUGGAUGUAAAGAUUGGGCCUUUUGUACAGUCCAAAAGCUUUACAUGUCGUUAGAGCAUCAUUAUCAUACUCUUCAAAACUGUCUGUUAGCUAUUUUAUACCCAAAAAUCAAAAAAGGCAUAAAAUCGUUGCUCCAUCAAACUCAUUUUCUAUCAAACCGAAAUCCCUCGCUACAAAUAACCAGCGACAAAAACUCGGCUAUUGGACUGAAAUUGGAAACUACAGAGCAACGGAUGGAUUCUCAGACACAAACAGAUGCAUACUUCACCAAUCUAUUACAAGGGGAAUCCAACCUUUUAGGUGAAUUUAUGAUGAAAUCUCCAAAUCAAAUGGGUCAAUGUUCAAGCCAACAUGGUGAAGUGGCCGGGCAAGAGUCUCCAUUGUCACCCCAAAUAGAAUCCACCACAAAGAAAUCACAACGUUGUGGCAACUUCACUACAGAAGAAGACAAUCUCCUUGUAUUGGCAUGGCUCAAUACAAGUUUGGAUGCAGUACACGGAAAUGAGCAAAAGCACAAGACAUUGGAAUAGAGUUUGGGAGUAUUUCCACAAGUACAAGACUUUUAAUUCUGAACGUAAUUAGAAUUCUUUAAUGAAUCGGUGGUCAACUAUUCAACUUGGAACCAAUAAGUUUUGUGGGUUCUUUGCUCAAAUUGAAUUAAUGCAUCAAAGUGGAGUAAAUAAGCAAGACAAGAUUGGCAAGGCCAAACUUAUGUAUCAAGAAUUCCAAAAAGCAUAAUUUCCAUUUGAACAUUGUUGGAAUGUGUUGAGGUACCAACCAAAAUGGUUAGAGGAAUGUGAGAAGAAAAAACC